AAAAAAUAUUUGGUUUGUUUAAUAUAUAAUUUGAUAUUAUUAUUUUUAUUUGAAAAAUUAAUUUGUAAAUACUAUUAUAAUAACAUUUUAGGAACAAAAUUAUUUAAGUCGAAUUAGUUUGACAGUUAUAAUGGCGUCAUGUACUUUUUUGUCAUUAUAGCGAUAAACAGACCUUUUAUUUCCAAACAGCUGAACAACUUAUAAAAACUAAAAUUAACUUAUAAGUUACAUAUCCAAACACCUUAAAAAAUAAUUUUUAAAAUAAGAUCUAACAGCUUAUCAGCUCCUAAAACAUCUUAUCAGCUGUAG
rnacentral:lncRNA from 1 species